rnacentral:SRP_RNA from 11 species
GCCUGAGGAGACGCCGAAGCGGAGAGGGAGAUGGGCUGCGGGGCGAGCAAGCAGGUAGCCCCCCUCGCAACCGCUGGAGCUCCGCCCCCGGGGGGCGGCCGGACGUCGGACAACCCCUCGGCCCAGAGGAAGGAGGCGCCGUCGAUGGCUUCGGCCAACCC